rnacentral:rRNA from 1 species
GAUGAACGCUGGCGGCGUGCCUAAUACAUGCAAGUCGAGCGAACAGACGCGGAGUUUGUGCCUCUGACGAUUGGGGCGGGCGUGUGAAUCACAUGAGGAAAACCCACCUAUCAGACUGGGAUGACUUCGAGAAACCGGCGCUUAUAGCGUACAAUAUUUGCAACCGUAUGGAUCGAUAGGGAAGGAUUGCUUUUCUGGAACUGAUCGAUGGCUCCGUGCUGCUUUAUGUAGUUGUGAAGGUAACAGCUUACCAAGGCUACGAUGCGUAGCCGACCUGAGAGGGUGAUCGGCGACACUGAAAGUGAGACACGGUCCAGACUCCUACGGGAGGCAGCAGCAGGGAAGCGUCCGCACUGGGCGAAAGACUGACGGAGCAACGCAGCGUGAGUGAUGAAGGGCUGCGGAUCGUAAAACGCUGUUAUUAGGGAAGAACAAAUGUGUAAGUAACUAUGCACGUCUGGACGGUACCGAAUCAGAAAGCCACGGCAAACUACGU